GUAGACCUGUAUGAAAGGCAAAAUGAGAGCCCAACUGUCUCUUAUAACAAAUCAAUAAAACUGAUCUCUUAGUACAAAAGCUAAGAUACUAACAUAAGACCAGAAGACCCUGUGAAGCUUUAACAAACUCAUUAAACCAAAUAAUGAUUACUUUAGGUUGGGGCGACCUUGGAAUAAAAAAGAACUUCCAAUAUUAUGACUUCUCAUAAAACAAGGCAAACAAGCCNAUACUAGACCCAGCACAGCUGAUAAUUGAAAUAAGUUACUCCAGGGAUAACAGCGCUAUCUUCUUCAAGAGCCCAUAUCAAAAAGAAGGUUUACGACCUCGAUGUUGGAUCAGGACAUCCCAGUAAUGCAUCCGUUACUAAAGGUUCGUUUGUUCAACGAUUAACAGUCCUACGUGAUCUGAG
rnacentral:rRNA from 1 species